GAUGAACGCUGGCGGCGUGCCUAAUACAUGCAAGUCGAGCGAACGGACGAGAAGCUUGCUUCUCUGAUGUUAGCGGCGGACGGGUGAGGAACACGUGGAUAACCUACCGAUAAGACUGGGAUAACUUCGGGAAACCGGAGCUAAUACCGGAUGAUAUUUUGAACCGCAUGGUUCAAAAGUGAAAGACGGUCUUGCUGUCACUUAUAGAUGGAUCCGGGCUGCAUUAGCUAGUUGGUAAGGUAACGGCUUACCAAGGCAACGAUGCAUAGCCGACCUGAGAGGGUGAUCGGCCACACUGGAACUGAGACACGGUCCAGACUCCUACGGGAGGCAGCAGUAGGGAAUCUUCCGCAAUGGGCGAAAGCCUGACGGAGCAACGCCGCGUGAGUGAUGAAGGUCUUCGGAUCGUAAAACUCUGUUAUUAGGGAAGAACAUAUGUGUAAGUAACUGUGCACAUCUUGACGGUACCUAUUCAGAAAGCCACGGCUAACUACGUG
rnacentral:rRNA from 1 species